rnacentral:lncRNA from 1 species
CAAAUGUAGAUCUGAAACUUUAAUAUGGAUGAGAAUCACCAGAGGUCUUCUAAAACAGAUUGCUGUCUCUCUUCCCACUGCACCCCAUAGUUGCCAUUUCAUAGGUCUGGAGUGGGGUCCCAAUAACUUGCAUUUUUAAUGAGUUCCCAGGUAAUGCUGAUGCUGCUGAUCUGGGGGCAAUACUUUAAGAACCACUGGACUGUAACAAUGUCAAACCUGCCUGAUGAGAAGAAUCACCUGGAAGGUUUAAAAAAAUGCAAAAUCCUCGGCCCCAUGCCAGACUUUCUGACUCAACCUCCAGGGAAGAGCCUAAAAUUUUCUAUUUCAACAAUCCUGCCUGAUUAAUAUGAUUAGCAAGAAUUUGUUUGUACCAGCUCUAUGCCAUACACCGUGAUAGACACACCAGACGUGGAAGUGAGAAAUAUGGUUCCCAUCUUGGAUAGCAAAGAAGAUGGACAAAUAAACCAACAAAUUAAACACAGAAAAACGUUUUCUAAAGGAAGGAGGUUUCUUGAAGGAAGUGGUACUUCUGUUGAAAUAUGAAAGAUGAGUGAGGGUUAGUCACAUACAGAAAGGGAGAAGGGAGUAUCCAAUGUAGAUAGAACAGCAUAUGAAAAGCACAGAGAUGUGAGAGAGCAGGUAGGCAUUGCUGUAAAUCCAGGUGGAUGUAAAAAAAAUCAGAGCCUUGCAGGAACUAGGUUGUAGAAAGCUCUGUGGACUAAGUUUAGUUGGUUUAACUUUAUCCUAAAAGUCACAGGAAAAUAUUAAAGAUGUUUAAAAAAGAAAAAAAAGCAGAUUUUCAUUUUAUUAACAAAACAUAACUCUGGCAGCAGGUGUGGAAAAUGGAUGGAGGGGCCAGGACCAGAAGAAAGACACCUGUUACUGAAGCAAUGCAGAUGGGAAAUGAUGGAGACCUAGAUGUAGACCAUGCCAGCAAAGACGGAGGGGCAGAAUUGAGUAAUACUUGUAGAACUAAUGUAACUUACAGGAUGAUUAGAUACAUAGAAAGGAGACUAACUCAAUCCUUUAUUUUUCUUCCUUUUUCAAAAGUUUUUUUAAGACUAUAUUACUAUCUUUUCCCCAUUCCCUCCAUACUUAAUAUGACAGUUAGCUAAUUUUACUUGAAUACCUAUGUCUUAUUCUUUACCAACACCAUCAAGCAGCAGCAUCUCCCUACCACCACCACAACAAGCAGCAAGUGUUUAUGGAGCACCUCUUAAUAAAUUAUCCUUUGUCUUGUUUUGUGACAAAUUUACAUUCCUCUCUGCUUUACUUUUGCUUUAUCCUGUAUUUUUCAUUGUUCUGUGGUUUAGCGUGUAUUUUCUUCUGCUCUUCCAGGACCAUAGGAUUUCAGAGCUUGUUACUUAAGUUCUCAGGUUUUUGAUAUGUACUUGGAAUUUUAUUUUUUACUACUUUCUCAAAGUAAUGCUCCACAAAUAUUUCUUAUGUAAUUCCAAUGCAUCUAAAGAGAUUUAGCAUUUGAGUUUUAUGUUAAACCAAUAAACUGAUUAAAGCCAUAAUUAGCAAUCACCA